AUUGAACGCUGGCGGCAGGCCUAACACAUGCAAGUCGAACGAGUGGCGGACGGGUGAGUAAUGUCUGGGAAACUGCCUGAUGGAGGGGGCUAACUACUGGAAACGGUAGCGAAUACCGCAGACCAGCAGCUGUGCCCAGAUGGGAUAAGUUUGUUGGUGGGGUAACGUCUCACCAAGGCGACGAUCCCUAGAUGGUCUGAGAGGAUGACCAGCCAACAUGGAACGGAGACACGGUCCAGAGUCGUACGGAAGGCAGCAGUGGGGAAUAUUGCAACAUGGGCGCAAGCCUGAUGCAGCCAUGCCGCGUGUAUGAAGAAGGCCUUCGGGUUGUAAAGUCCUUUCUGCGGGGAGGCGUUACCCGCACAAGAAGCACCGGCUAACUCCGUGCCAGCCGCCGCGGUAAUAC
rnacentral:rRNA from 1 species